CCCUCCGAAAUAGGGAUUCCAGAAACGCAGGUUCCUGCCUCUCUGCCCGAGGUCUGGCAGAGCAGGUGGUCUCAGUGUGGUUUGAUGGAGGAGCAAAGGCAUUCCAGAUUCAGAACAGCUUCCUGUUCUGCUCACAGCAGCCUCAAAGUCGAUUGAAAGUUUCUGGCAAAAUACAAAUUAUUUCCUGGGAGGAGAGGGCAGUUCCCCUACAGUCUCUUGCCUGCCACCAUGUAAGACAUGCCUUUGUUCCUUCUUCACCUUCCGCCAUGAUUGUGAGGCCUCCUCAGCCACGUGGAACUGUGAGUCCAUUAAACCUCUUUUCUUUAUAAAUUA